rnacentral:rRNA from 1 species
AUUGAACGCUGGCGGCAGGCUUAACACAUGCAAGUCGAACGAGUGGCGGACGGGUGAGUAAUGUCUGGGAAACUGCCCGGUGGCGGGGGAUAACUACUGGAAACGGUGGCUAAUACCGCAUACUAUCGGAUGUGCCCAGAUGGGAUUAGCUAGUAGGUGGGGUAAAGGCUCACCGAGGCGACGAUCCCUAGCUGGUCUGAGGGGAUGAACAGCCACACUGGAACUGAGACACGGUCCAGACUCCUACGGGAGGCAGCAGUGGGGAAUAUUGCACAAUGGGCGCAAGCCUGAUGCAGCCAUGCCGCGUGUAUGAAGAAGGCCUUCGGGUUGUAAAGUACUUUCAGCAGGGAGGCGUUACCCGCAGAAGAAGCACCGGCUAACUCCGUGCCAGCCGCCGCGGUAAUUC